rfam:Gorilla gorilla gorilla genomic chromosome, chr15, whole genome shotgun sequence
GCCGGGUGCGUUGGCAGGCACCUGUAAUCCCAGCUACUCGGGAGGCUAAGGCAGGAGAAUGGCUUGAACCCAGGAGGCAGAGGUUGCAGUGAGCCAAGAUUGUGCCACUGCACUCAAGCCUGGGUGACAGAGCAAGACCCUGUCUCAA